rnacentral:rRNA from 1 species
UACGUAGGGGGCUAGCGUUGUCCGGAAUCAUUGGGCGUAAAGAGCGUGUAGGCGGCCAGAUAAGUCCGCUGUGAAAUCUCGAGGCUCAACUUCGAGCUGUCGGUGGAAACUGUCUGGCUAGAGUCCGGAAGAGGAGAAUGGAAUUCCUGGUGUAGCGGUGAAAUGCGCAGAUAUCAGGAAGAACACCCGUGGCGAAGGCGGUUCUCUGGGACGGUACUGACGCUGAGACGCGAAAGCGUGGGAGCGAACAGG